rnacentral:rRNA from 1 species
UACGGAGGAUGCGAGCGUUAUCCGGAUUUAUUGGGUUUAAAGGGUGCGUAGGUUGUUUUUUAAGUCAGCGGUGAAAGUUUGUGGCUCAACCAUAAAAUUGCCGUUGAAACUGGAAGACUUGAGUGUGUUUGAGGUAGGCGGAAUGCGUGGUGUAGCGGUGAAAUGCAUAGAUAUCACGAAGAACUCCGAUUGCGAAGGCAGCCUGCUGGACUGUAACUGACGCUGAAGCACGAAAGCGUGGGUAUCGAACAGG